GUCCUCACUUUGACAGCACAUAUACUAAAAUUGGGCUGAUACGGAGAAGAUUAGCACAGCCUAUGUGCAAAGCAAACUCAUGAAGUGUUCUAUAUUUUC
ensembl:snRNA U6 U6 spliceosomal RNA